GGUUCGAUUAUGGCUCAGAUUGAACGCUGGCGGGAUGCUUACACAUGCAAGUCGAACGGCAGCACGGACUUCUGGUCUGGUGGCGAGUGGCGAACGGGUGAGUAAUGUAUCGGAACGUGCCUAGUAGCGGGGGAUAACUACGCGAAAGCGUAGCUAAUACCGCAUACGUUCUUCGGGGAAAGCGGGGGACCGGGCCUCGCACUAUUAGAGCGGCCGGGAUAUCGAUUGGGUUAUUGGCGGUAAUGCUCAUCAGCACGAUCCGUAAUGGUUUCGGAGAGGACGACUGUCACACGACUGGGACGAGACAUUACUCAGACUCCUAUCGGAUAUGCGCAGUAAUUUUGAUUAUUGAAACCUGACUAGCCGACUCAUGUGUGCGAUGGAAGUGGCUCGUUGUAACACGCAGCAGAAGAACGUCGAUAAUAUCCGUGGCAACUGGCUUGUGUUCUGCAGAAUGUAAAGUGCCUGCCAACUACGCCAAGCGCCGCACAUGUAGUGCGGUUAUCGGAAUUAUCAGACAAUGGCGGUUCGGAAAGAAAGAUGGAAAUCGAGCUACCUGAACUGCAUUUUUUUAACGUCGAUAGAGUCAGAGGAGGUGAACUGCGUGUAUGAAAUGAUACAGAUGUUGCGAGGAAUCGAUAUAAUGCAAGCCCUGAUAACACCUGACGUAGCCUGCCAACGCAGUAGAGUAAACAGGUCAGGAUAGCUCCAAGAACCAUCAAAUGAUGGUCGUAAUUCAGCCGUUGGGGCGUCUUCGGCCUGGUGGGCAGCAAUAUAGUGAAGUUACUGCCUGGGUGAAUAACGCAGAUUAAAACUCAAAGGAAUUGACGGGGACCCGCACAAGCGGUGGAUGAUGUGGAUUAAUUCGAUGCAACGCGAAAAACCUUACCUACCUUUGACAUGUCUGGAAUCCCGAAGAGAUUUGGGGAGUGCUCGCAAGAGAACCGAAACAGGUGCUGCAUGGCUGUCGUCAGCUCGUGUCGUGAGAUGUUGGGUUAAGUCCCGCAACGAGCGCAACCCUUGUCAUUAGUUGCUACGAAAGGGCACUCUAAUGAGACUGCCGGUGACAAACCGGAGGAAGGUGGGGAUGACGUCAAGUCCUCAUGGCCCUUAUGGGUAGGGCUUCACACGUCAUACAAUGGUCGGGACAGAGGGUCGCCAACCCGCGAGGGGGAGCCAAUCCCAGAAACCCGAUCGUAGUCCGGAUCGCAGUCUGCAACUCGACACUGCGUGAAGUCGGAAUCGCUAGUAAUCGCGGAUCAGCAUGUCGUAGAAUACGUUCCCGGGUCUUGUACACACCGCCCGUCACACCAUGGGAGUGGGUUUUACCAGAAGUAGUUAGCCUAACCGUAAGGAGGGCGAUUACCACGGUAGGAUUCAUGACUGGGGUGAAGCCGUAACAAGGUAG
rnacentral:rRNA from 1 species